rnacentral:rRNA from 1 species
CAGUCGCCGCGGGAAUACAGAGGGUGCGAGCGUUAAUCGGAUUUACUGGGCGUAAAGCGUGCGUAGGCGGCUUCUUAAGUCGGAUGUGAAAUCCCUGAGCUUAACUUAGGAAUUGCAUUCGAUACUGGGAAGCUAGAGUAUGGGAGAGGAUGGUAGAAUUCCAGGUGUAGCGGUGAAAUGCGUAGAGAUCUGGAGGAAUACCGAUGGCGAAGGCAGCCAUCUGGCCUAAUUCUGACGCUGAGGUACGAAAGCAUGGGGAGCAAACAGGAUUAGAUACCCCCGUAGUCCCUGUCUCUUAUAC